rnacentral:rRNA from 1 species
GACGAACGCUGGCGGCGUGCUUAACACAUGCAAGUCGAACGGAAAGGCCCUGCUUGCAGGGUACUCGAGUGGCGAACGGGUGAGUAACACGUGGGUGAUCUGCCCUGCACUUCGGGAUAAGCCUGGGAAACUGGGUCUAAUACCGGAUAGGAGCCAUUUUUAGUGUGAUGGUUGGAAAGUUUUUUCGGUGUAGGAUGAGCUCGCGGCCUAUCAGCUUGUUGGUGGGGUAAUGGCCUACCAAGGCGGCGACGGGUAGCCGGCCUGAGAGGGUGGACGGCCACCUUGGGACUGAGAUGCGGCCCAGACUCCUACGGGAGGCAGCAGUGGGGAAUAUUGCACCAUGGGCGCAAGCCUGAUGCAGCGACGCCGCUUGGGGGAUGACGGCCUUCGGGUUGUAAACUCCUUUCGCUAGGGACGAAGCUUUUUGUGACGGUACCUAGAUAAGAAGCACCGGCUAACUACGUG